AAAUGAAUAGACGGGGGCCCGCACAAGCGGAGGAACAUGUGGUUUAAUUCGAUGAUACGCGAGGAACCUUACCUGGGCUUAAAUGUAUGUUGCAUGGAGUGGAAACAUUCCUUUCCUUCGGGACUACGUACAAGGUGCUGCAUGGUUGUCGUCAGCUCGUGCCGUGAGGUGUCGGGUUAAGUCCCAUAACGAGCGCAACCCCUGUUGUCAGUUGCCAGCAUGUAAUGGUGGGGACUCUGACAAGACUGCCGGUGUAAACCGUGAGGAAGGUGGGGAUGACGUCAAAUCAGCACGGCCCUUAUGUCCAGGGCCACACACGUGUUACAAUGGUCGGUACAACGGGCAGCCACCUGGCGACAGGGCGCUAAUCCCGAAAGCCGAUCGUAGUUCGGAUCGGAGUCUGCAACUCGACUCCGUGAAGCUGGAUUCGCUAGUAAUCGCGCAUCAGCCAUGGCGCGGUGAAUACGUUCCCGGGCCUUGUACACACCGCCCGU
rnacentral:rRNA from 1 species